UGAAGGGCGGGUUCUAUGUCGACGUGCUGGACCACGCAUAUGCUAAGAUACACGUGGGGAUCAUCGGCAUCGACUGGACAUUCCUGGAUGCCAGAGUCUGCUUCAAGGGACAGGCAGAAUACGAAUUCAACGUUUUCCAUGAGUUCAACUACGAAGAGAUUUUCCAACUGGUUAAAAAGUUUGACGGCGUGAUCAACCAGGUCGUUGGAAACGUAAAGAACAACAUCAUCCGUUUCAGGAAACUUCUGGGAAGAAAGACGGGCUCCAUUGACGGCACCUUCGAUGACAUCAUUAAGUCGGUGGAGAAGUUCCCCGACCAAGUUAAAGAGUUAAAGGUGAAGGCGAAGAAUUUCACCAGGAAAGCCGGAGAGUACACCAACCUCCAUCCGGUCGUGGAGAACGUCAAACAUGUGGUCCAGCGAGUCAGCACGCUCAUCAGUGACGUCAAGGAUGACGUCAUGGAGUU